UGAAAAGCCAGCAUCUGUGAUGGUAUGGGGGUGUAUUAGUGCCCAAGGCAUGGGUAACUUACACAUCUGUGAAGGCACCAUUAAUGCUGAAAGGUACAUACAGGUUUUGGAGCAACAUAUGUUGCCAUCCAAGCAACGUUAUCAUGGACGCCCCUGCUUAUUUAAGACAAUCCCAAGCCAUGUGUUGCAACAACGUGGCUUCAUAGUAAAAGAGUGCGGGUACUAGACUGGCCUGCCUGUAGUCCAGACCUGUCUCCCAAUGUGUGGUGCAUUAUGAAGCCUAAAAUACCACAACGGAGACCCCCGGACUGUUGAACAACUUAAGCUGUACAUCAAGCAAGAAUGAGAAAGAAUUCCACCUGAGAAGCUUAAAAAAUGUGUCUCCUCAGUUCCCAAACGUUUACUGAGUGUUGUUAAAAGGAAAGGCCAUGCAACACAGUGGUAAAAAUGCCCCUGUGACAACUUUUUUGCAAUGUGUUGCUGCCAUUAAAUUCUAAGUUAAUGAUUAUUUUCCAAAAAAAAUUCAGUUUCUCAGUUGGAACAUUAAGUAUCUUGUCUUUGCAGUCUAUUCAAUUGAAUAUAAGUUGAAAAGGAUUUGCAAAUCAUUGUAUUCUGUUUUUAUUUACCAUUUACACAACGUGCCAACUUCACUGGUUUGGGGUUUUGUACUUUAGUGGAAGAGGCGACAAAAUGUCUCUUUUGAUAGUAAAGGUUGCAAACCACUGCACCGGUGGUAUACGUACCACGGUUUGACAAUCGCCCAUCUAAAGUCUCUGUAAACGCACGGUUGAGGGUUGCAGGGCGGACUAACCAAUCAUGAGAAAUUUGGAGAAGAUCGAACUACGUGGGAGGUAGUAACAUGAGAUAUUGGCAUGCUAACAGUUAGAUGCUGACAAGUGACAUGUUCACUGAGUUUUAGGAUUAUACUAAUACAUUAAUUAUAUAAAUUAGCCAAAAUGCGAGACCAAAAUGUCAUCAUGCUAACAUUAAAAGAGUUAAAAAGCUAGCAAUAUAGCAGCCAGCACUGAAAUUAGUGAUUUUUAGGUUCAAAAUUAGCUUCAACAUUAGCAUGCAUGCUAACAUAGGAACAGUUAGCAUACAUUCAAGAUGGCGUUAAAUAACCAAAUCCAUAAUUUAACAUAACCAGAACCCUAAAUCAUACCUUGCUUGUUUCUCAAUCAAUUCCCAUGUGGUUUACGUGUUGUAAUAUACAACAUUAGAUUUUUUUUUAAUGAUAAAAAAUGAUUUACCGAUUCAAGAUUAUUGCCAGUGGCCUUGGUUCAACCCUAUGGCAUAUUUUUGUAGGUGCUUUUGUGCCACCUACAACAAUGAAAUACCAGGACACUUUGCCCCUACUAGCUUAGGCUGCUAGUUAGCACGCGGCUAAAAGGAGCGUGACAAAUCAAGUUGGUCAAAACUAGCUUAAAUGCUAGCAUAUAACGUUUACGUGGGAACAGCAUACAUAUCACGUAACCAAAGCCGUAAAUUAUUCGGUUUAUACGAACAAAAUCUGCUAAAAUGCUAGCAUAAAACUACAGUGUGAUUACGUUAGCACGCUAACAUGAGAAGAAUCGGCAAACUAACGUACCAAAAUCCAUGAUUUGUAAGUUCGUACAUUCAAAAUCAGCUAAAAUACUCGCAUAAACAUGCUAACGUCAGAAUGGGAAGAGUUAGCACACAUACAAGAUGGUGCCAAGUAACGAAAUCCACCAUUUUAGGUUAAUACCGAGUAAUUUACAAGUAGCUAACAUUAGCAUGCUAAUGUUACAAUGAUAAUGACAACAAUUAUUUACAGAUUACCGGUAAAGAUUAUUGGUUCAACCCUACAGCAUAUUUUGCAACCGUCUUGUUGUCUUUGCUUUUGUGCCACCUACAACAAUGAAAUACCAGGACACUUAGUCCCUACUAGCUUAGGCUGCUAGUUAGCACGCGGCUAAAAGGAGCGUGACAAAACAAGUUGGUCAAAACUAGCUUAAAUGCUAGCAUAUAACGUUUACGUGGGAACAGCAUACGUACCACGUAACCAAAGCCGUAAAUUCUUCGGUUUAUACGAACAAAAUUUGCUCAAAUGCUAGCAUAAAACUACAGUGAGAUAACGUUAGCAUGCUAACAUGAGAAGAAUUGGUAAACUAACGUACCAAAAUCCAUGAUUUGUAAGUUCGUACAUUCAAAAUCAGCUAAAAUGCUCGCAUAAACAUGCUAACGUCAGAAUGGGAAGAGUUAGCACACAUACAAGAUGGUGGCAAGUAACGAAAUCCACCAUUUUAGGUUCAUACCGAGUAAUUCACAAGUAGCUAACAUUAGCAUGCUAAUGUUACCAUAGUGUUCCUAAUGUUGUGUCCAGCGUACGAGUGAUUUAAACUUUUAAGGGGUUUAAUUUUAAACUUUUAAGGGGUUUAAUUUCUUUGGAAUUGUUUUUCUCGACAGCGCUGUGGGACAAGAUGACAGGCCAGAGACUCCUCACUGUGCACUAAACUCCGCUAAAGGUCUCACAAAAACACGUUUUUUAUUUCGUAUUUUUUUAUUUGUUUCCUCGCCGAGCGCAUAGCAACUUUUUAACUUUUGUAUUUAUUGUUUAUUAACUGUUUACAGACAGACACUGAGGCCCGUUGACUGUGUUUUUAAUUUGUUUUGUUUCAGCCUUAACAGUCGAGCACAACAGCGCUCUCAGGGGAAGACGCGUGCGUGCCUGUGUGUGCGUGUGUGUGUGUGUGUGUGUGUGUGUGUGUGUGUGUGUGUGUGUGUGUGUGUGUGUGUGUGUGUGUGUGUGUGUGUGUGUGUGUGUGUGUGUGUGUGUGUGCAUCAAAAUGACGAGAAAUAGCCAAAAAUGCGGCCAUCUUUGCUGUGGAACUCGAAGGUGUGCUAUGAUCUAAGCUACCCUAGAUUUUACGGUGAAACAAAAAAAAAACUAGCAGCUCAGUCGCCAGAAUUUUACAGUAAAAAUAACAAUGGUAUCCUUUUGUUUUUUUUAGUUCCAGUAACACACUGUAAAGAGAAAAACCCUAACUUUAACGGUAAACAAAAAUUGACUGAUCAGUUGCCAGAUUCUUGCAGUAAAAACAAUGGCGCUGUUGUUGAUUUGGCAGUAAUCAGGUGUGAAACAAAGCCAGCAUAAAUGUUCCGUCAAAUUCUGCCGACUGAUCUGUUUUGUCGGUGUAGGUUGUGCUAGGAUAUAGGUAUGCUAUAGGAUUUAAGUUAGAAGCCAGGGGGUGUGCUAGGAUCUAAGCUAGAAAGCUAGAAGGUAUGCCAUAGGAUCUGAGCUAGAAGGCAAGGAGGUUUGCUCAGAUCUAAGCUAGAAAGCUAGGAGGUGUGCUAGGAUCUAAGAUAGAAAGCUAGCAGGUAUGCCAUAGGAUCUAAGCUAGAAAGCAAGGUGAUUUUCUAGGAUCUUAGCUAGAAAGAUAGGAGGUAUGAUAUAGGAUCUAAGACAGAAAGCUUGGAGGUGUGCUAGGAUCUAAGCUAGAAAGUAAGGAGGUUUGCUAGGAUCUAAGCUAGAAAGCUAGCAGUUAUGCCAUAGGAUCUAAGCUAGAAAGCAAGGAAAUUUGCCAGGAUCUAAGCUAGAAAGGUAGGAGGUAUGCUAUAGGAUCUAAGCUAGAAAGCUAGAAGGUUUGCUAGGAUCUAAGCUAGAAAGCUAGCAGGUAUGCCAUAGGAUCUAAGCUAGAAAGCUAGGAGGUUUGCUAGGAUCUAAGCUAGAAAGCAAGGAGGUUUGCCAGGAUCUAAACUAGAAGGCUAGGAGGUAUGCUAUAAGAUCUAAGCUAGAAAGCUAGGAGGUGUGCUAGGAUCUAAGUUAGGAGGUGUGCUAGGAUCUAAGCUAGAAAGCUAGCUGGUAUGCCAUAGGAUCUAAGCUAGAAAGCAGUGAGGUUUGCUAGGAUCUAAGCUAGAAAGCCAGCAGGUAUGCCAUAGGAUCUAAGCUAGAAACCAAGGAAAUUUGCCAGGAUCUAAACUAGAAAGGUAGGAGGUAUGCUAUAGGAUCUAAGCUAGAAAGCUAGGAGGUGUGCUAGGAUCUACGCUAGAAAACGAGGAUGUUUGCUAGGAUCUAAGCUAGAAAGCUAAGAGUUAUGCUAUAUAAUCUAAGCUAGAAAGCUAGGAGUUGUGUGAGGAUCUACGCUAGAAAGCGAGGAGGUUUGCUAGGAUCUAAGCUAGAAAGCUAAGAGGUAUGCUAUAUGAUCUAAGCUAGAAAGCUAGGAGUUGUGCUAGGAGCUAAGCUAGAAAGCAAGGAGGUUUGCUAGGAUCUACGCUAUAAAGCUAGGAGGUAUGUUAUAGGAUCUAAGCUAGGAGGCUGAGAGGUGUGUUAGGAUCCAAUCAAGAAAGCUAGAAGGUGUGCUAGGAUCUACGCUAGAAAACUAGGAGGUUUUCUACGAACUAAGCUAGAAAGCAGUGAGGUUUGCUAGGAUCUAAGCUAGAAAGCCAGCAGGUAUGCCAUAGGAUCUAAGCUAGAAACCAAGGAAAUUUGCCAGGAUCUAAACUAGAAAGGUAGGAGGUAUGCUAUAGGAUCUAAGCUAGAAAGCUAGGAGGUGUGCUAGGAUCUACGCUAGAAAACGAGGAUGUUUGCUAGGAUCUAAGCUAGAAAGCUAAGAGUUAUGCUAUAUAAUCUAAGCUAGAAAGCUAGGAGUUGUGUGAGGAUCUACGCUAGAAAGCGAGGAGGUUUGCUAGGAUCUAAGCUAGAAAGCUAAGAGGUAUGCUAUAUGAUCUAAGCUAGAAAGCUAGGAGUUGUGCUAGGAGCUAAGCUAGAAAGCAAGGAGGUUUGCUAGGAUCUACGCUAUAAAGCUAGGAGGUAUGUUAUAGGAUCUAAGCUAGGAGGCUGAGAGGUGUGUUAGGAUCCAAUCAAGAAAGCUAGAAGGUGUGCUAGGAUCUACGCUAGAAAACUAGGAGGUUUUCUACGAACUAAGCUAGAAAGCAAUGAGGUUUGCUAGGAUCUACGCUAGAAAGCUAGCAGGUAUGCCAUAGGAUCUAAGUUAGAAACCAAUGAAAUUUGCCAGGAUCUAAGCUAGAAAGGUAGGAGGUAUGCUAUAGGAUCUAAGCUAGAAAGCUAGGAGGUGUGCUAGGAUCUAAGUUAGGAGGUGUGCUAGGAUCUAAGCUAGAAAGCUAGCUGGUAUGCCAUAGGAUCUAAGCUAGAAAGCAGUGAGGUUUGCUAGGAUCUUAGCUAGAAAGCCAGCAGGUAUGCCAUAAGAUCUAAGCUAGAAAGCAAGGUGAUUUUCUAGGAUCUUAGCUAGAAAGAUAGGAGGUAUGAUAUAGGAUCUAAGACAGAAAGCUUGGAGGUGUGCUAGGAUCUAAGCUAGAAAGUAAGGAGGUUUGCUAGGAUCUAAGCUAGAAAGCUAGCAGUUAUGCCAUAGGAUCUAAGCUAGAAAGCAAGGAAAUUUGCCAGGAUCUAAGCUAGAAAGGUAGGAGGUAUGCUAUAGGAUCUAAGCUAGAAAGCUAGAAGGUUUGCUAGGAUCUAAGCUAGAAAGCUAGCAGGUAUGCCAUAGGAUCUAAGCUAGAAAGCUAGGAGGUUUGCUAGGAUCUAAGCUAGAAAGCAAGGAGGUUUGCCAGGAUCUAAACUAGAAGGCUAGGAGGUAUGCUAUAAGAUCUAAGCUAGAAAGCUAGGAGGUGUGCUAGGAUCUAAGUUAGGAGGUGUGCUAGGAUCUAAGCUAGAAAGCUAGCUGGUAUGCCAUAGGAUCUAAGCUAGAAAGCAGUGAGGUUUGCUAGGAUCUAAGCUAGAAAGCCAGCAGGUAUGCCAUAGGAUCUAAGCUAGAAACCAAGGAAAUUUGCCAGGAUCUAAGCUAGAAAGGUAGGAGGUAUGCUAUAGGAUCUAAGCUAGAAAGCUAGGAGGUGUGCUAGGAUCUACGCUAGAAAACGAGGAUGUUUGCUAGGAUCUAAGCUAGAAAGCUAAGAGUUAUGCUAUAUAAUCUAAGCUAGAAAGCUAGGAGUUGUGUGAGGAUCUACGCUAGAAAGCGAGGAGGUUUGCUAGGAUCUAAGCUAGAAAGCUAAGAGGUAUGCUAUAUGAUCUAAGCUAGAAAGCUAGGAGUUGUGCUAGGAGCUAAGCUAGAAAGCAAGGAGGUUUGCUAGGAUCUACGCUAUAAAGCUAGGAGGUAUGUUAUAGGAUCUAAGCUAGGAGGCUGAGAGGUGUGUUAGGAUCUAAUCAAGAAAGCUAGAAGGUGUGCUAGGAUCUACGCUAGAAAACUAGGAGGUUUUCUACGAACUAAGCUAGAAAGCAAUGAGGUUUGCUAGGAUCUAAGCUAGAAAGCUAGCAGGUAUGCCAUAGGAUCUAAGCUAGAAACCAAUGAAAUUUGCCAGGAUCUAAGCUAGAAAGGUAGGAGGUAUGCUAUAGGAUCUAAGCUAGAAAGCUAGGAGGUGUGCUAGGAUCUAAGUUAGGAGGUGUGCUAGGAUCUAAGCUAGAAAGCUAGCUGGUAUGCCAUAGGAUCUAAGCUAGAAAGCAGUGAGGUUUGCUAGGAUCUUAGCUAGAAAGCCAGCAGGUAUGCCAUAAGAUCUAAGCUAGAAACCAAGAAAAUUUACCAGGAUCUAAGCUAGAAAGGUAGGAGGUACGCUAUAGGAUCUAAGCUAGAAAGCUAGGAGGUGUGCUAGGAUCUAAGCUAGAAAGCUAGCAGGUAUGCGAUAGGAUCUAAGCUAGAAAGCAGUGAGGUUUGCUAGGAUCUAAGCUAGAAAGCCAGCAGGUAUGCCAUAGGAUCUAAGCUAGAAACCAAGGAAAUUUACCAGGAUCUAAGCUAGAAAGGUAGGAGGUAUGCUAUAGGAUCUAAGCUAGAAAGCUAGGAGGUGUGCUAGGAUCUAAGCUAGAAAGCUAGCAGGUAUGCCAUAGGAUCUAAGCUAGAAACCAAGGAAAUUUGCCAGGAUCUAAGCUAGAAAGGUAGGAGGUAUGCUAUAGGAUCUAAUCUAGAAAGCUAGGAGGUUUGCCAGGAUCUAAACUAGAAAGCUAGGAGGUAUGCUAUAGGAUCUAAGCUAGAAAGCUGGGAGGUGUGCUAUAGGAUCUAAGCUAGAAAGCUAGAAGGUGUGCUAGGAUCUACGCUAGAAAACGAGAAUGUUUGCUAGGAUCUACGCUAGAAAGCUAGGAGGUAUGCUAUAUAGGAUCUAAGCUAGAAAGCUAGGAGGUAUGCGAAGAUCUACGCUAGAAAACGAGGAUGUUGGCUAGGAUCUAAUCAAGAAAGCUAGGUGUGCUAGGAUCCAGGCUUAACUGGUACAAUGUGUGCUACGAUGGAGCCUAGGGGGUGUGCGAGGAUCUACGCUAGAAAAGCGGGAGGUGUGCUCGAAUGGAGGCUGGCGUGUCAUUGUGCCAUUGAACGUUUGUCUGCCAAUCAGUGACUACCUGAUGAAGUGAUGACGUAAUCGUGCCGUUUGUUUAUGUUUUCGAAAGCUGUUUCGGGGCUUGGCACCAAUUGCUGGUUUUUAUUGAUUUUAUCGGAACAAUUUGGAUAGAAUCGUGUGUGAGACGAGGAGUUCCUCCUGAUAAGAACAUAUCAAGCCCCGGUGUAGCAGGGAGCUGUGAAGACAUUUGUACAUACAUGAAUGUUUCCCAGUGUAAAUGAACACAUAACUUUUUGUAAGUCAUAUUUAAUGGAUUAAAUGGCAUUAAAACCAA